rnacentral:rRNA from 1 species
UACGUAGGCAGCGAGCGUUGUUCGGAAUUACUGGGCGUAAAGAGUGUGUAGGCGGUGUUCCCAGUCUGUUGUGAAAUCUCCCGGCUUAACUGGGAGGGUGCAGCGGAAACUAGAAUGCUAGAGGGUGGGGGAGGUAAGCGGAAUUCCUGGUGUAGCGGUGAAAUGCGUAGAUAUCAGGAGGAACACCUGUGGUGUAGACAGCUUACUGGACCACUUCUGACGCUGAGACACGAAAGCGUGGGUAGCAAACAGG